rnacentral:lncRNA from 1 species
CAGCAGAAAGAUAGAAUGAUGGAGUUCGCUGAGAAGCUUGGGUGGAAGAUUCAGAAACACGAUGAGCAAGAAGUGCAGCAGUUUUGUUCUCAAGUUGGUGUUAAGAGGCAAGUUUUCAAGGUUUGGAUGCACAACAACAAGCAAGCUAUCAAGAAACAACAGCAGCAGCACACGUAAGCAAAACAAUCAUUGUUUAUUAGAGGAAUUACUUGUUUUGUUUUCUUGUCCUCUCUUCAUCUUUUCUUGUUCUUUGCUUAACAAAUAAGAACCAAAGAAAGAAUUAGAAUUGAAAAUGAUUUUCAUUUUUAUUAGUUAAUAAGUAUAUAGAUCAUUUAGAUGUGCAUAUUCAAAUUAAACAGAGCAAGUUAGCUUAGCUAGCUACCCACCCUAGAUACAUGGAAUUCAAACUUUCAUAGCAGCCACAUAUGACUUUCCAUUUUUAUAUAUCAAUUCUGUAUGCUCCUCCUAUUCAAUCAAUUACUUCCAUCAUCAUCAUCAUCAUUCAUAUGCAGCCAACAAAAUAUGCAUGGAUCAUGGAUGCAAUAAUAAUUAGUUAAAUUCUCAGUUUCUCACUCACCUCUUCCCUUUUGGAAGGUCAUUUUUUUCCUCCGGCAAAGCGAGGGAGAAAUAAAAAAAAAAAAAGAAAAAAAAAAGAGAGAGAUGGUGAUAACUUUGAGUAGUACAGUUGGGAUGAACUAAGACAAAGCGUAUAUAUCAUUACGUUGUUUGUUAUAAGCUGCUUAGGCUAGGCGUAACGAUAUUUCAUGCAUAAUAAUCCUAGCUUUUUGAAUUUCAAUCAUGUAACCGUGGGUUUCGCGAUAAAUGAAAAAUUGAUGAGAGAAAGAUAGGAUCCCCCACAGUGAUACCGCAAAUUUGUCGUUUCAUAUGGGGGACACCGACUCAUACACAUGAUGAAGAAUGAAUGAAUUAGGA